rnacentral:tRNA from 1 species
GACAGCGUAGCUCAGUUGGUAGAGCAUUGGGCUAGUAUUCCAAAGGUCGUAGGUUCGAUUCCCACCGUUCG